ACUUAACCUGGAGAGGAAGCAGUGGCUAACUCCGUGCCAGCAGCCGCGGUAAUACGGAGACUGCAAGCGUUAUUCGGAUUCACUGGGCGUAAAGGGUGCGCAGGCGGUUAUGUGUGUCAGGUGUGAAAUCUCGGAGCUCAACUCCGAAACUGCGCCUGAAACUACAUGACUAGAGUAUCGGAGAGGUGAGCGGAAUUCAUGGUGUAGCAGUGAAAUGCGUAGAUAUCAUGAGGAACACCAGAGGCGAAGGCGGCUCACUGGACGAUUACUGACGCUCAGGCACGAAAGCAUGGGUAGCGAAAGGGAUUAGAUACCCCUGUAGUCCAUGCCCUAAACGUUGUACACUAGGUCUUGGAGGAUUCUACCCCUUCAGGGCCCAAGCUAACGCGAUAAGUAUACCGCCUGAGGACUACGGCCGCAAGGCUAAAACUCAAAGGAAUUGACGGGGGCCCGCACAAGCGGUGGAGCAUGUGGCUUAAUUCGA
rnacentral:rRNA from 1 species